rnacentral:rRNA from 1 species
UAGGGAAUUUUGGACAAUGGGGGCAACCCUGAUCCAGCAAUGCCGCGUGUGUGAAGAAGGCCUGAGGGUUGUAAAGCACUUUAGGUGGGGAGAAAGGUAUUUGGGUUAAUAGCCCAGAUAAUUGAUGUUACCCACAGAAUAAGCACCGGCUAACUCUGUGCCAGCAGCCGCGGUAAUACAGAGGGUGCAAGCGUUAAUCGGAAUUAUUGGGCGUAAAGCGCAUGUAGGUGGUUUAUUAAGUUUGAUGUGAAAGCCCUGGGCUUAACCUGGGAAUGGCGUUGAAUACUGGUAGACUAGAGUCGGACAGAGGGCGGUGGAAUUUCCGGUGUAGCGGUGAAAUGCGUAGAGAUCGGAAAGAACAUCGGUGGCGAAGGCGGCCGCCUGGGUCCAGACUGACACUGAGGUGCGAAAGCGUGGGGAGCAAACAGG